rnacentral:RNase_P_RNA from 1 species
GCGAGUAAUUGACCGCUGCAUUAAUUUGUAGAGGAAAGUCCAUGCUUGCACAGACUGUGAUGUCUGUAAUGUUUCUGUAGGUUAAAUAAAUGGAACCUAACACCUAUUAGCUUGGUGAUGACCGCUUGACGUCUAAGUUAUCUAAAAUAAUAUGACAACAAGCGAUAAAGUACAACAGUGACGAAUUAAUAGGAAACUAUUAAAUGAAACGGGUAAACUCCAGAAGCAAGAAACCUAAAUUUUGGUAAGGGAACGGGUAAUUAAUAAACGAAUUAAUUAUUCGACUAAUGAGCAAUCAUUAUGUAGACAAAUGGUCAAUAUUAACUCUUUAAACAGUUAACACAGAAUAUGGCUUAUGCCC